rnacentral:rRNA from 1 species
UACGAACUGUGCAAACGUUAUUCGGAAUCACUGGGCUUAAAGGGUGCGUAGGCGGCUGUCUAAGCAGGGUGUGAAAGCCCCCGGCUCAACCGGGGAAUUGCGUUCUGAACUGGACGGCUGGAGUGGGAUAGAGGUGUGCGGAACUUCCGGUGGAGCGGUGAAAUGUGUUGAUAUCGGAAGGAACGCCGGUGGCGAAAGCGGCACACUGGGUCUCAACUGACGCUGAGGCACGAAAGCGUGGGUAGCAAACAGG